AACGAACGCUGGCGGCGUGCCUAACACAUGCAAGUCGUGCGAGAAAGUUCCUUCGGGAGCGAGUAAAGCGGCGCACGGGUGAGUAACACGUAGGUAACCUGCCCCCCAAUCUGGAACAACUAGAGGAAACUCUAGCUAAUGCCGGAUGAGACCACGAUCCCUUCGGGGGUUGCGGCCAAAGAUGGCCUCUACUUGUAAGCUAUCGCUGAGGGAUGGGCCUGCGGGCCAUUAGCUUGUUGGUGAGGUAACGGCUCACCAAGGCUGUGAUGGCUAGCUGGUCUGAGAGGAUGACCAGCCACACUGGGACUGAGACACGGCCCAGACUCCUACGGGAGGCAGCAGUGGGGAAUAUUGCGCAAUGGGCGAAAGCCUGACGCAGCGACGCCGCGUGGGUGAUGAAGGCCUCGGUCGUAAGA
rnacentral:rRNA from 1 species